rnacentral:rRNA from 1 species
GAGCUACUCCAAGACAGCCUCUAAGGGCACACCCGUCUCUGUGGCAAAAGAGUGGGAAGAUCUUCGAGUAGGGGUGACAGACCUACCGAACUUGGUUAUAGCUGGUUGCCCAGGAAGUGAAUAGGAGUUCAGCCUUUUGUCCCCUCUCCGCACAUUAAUCGAUUCCAUCCUCGAAGCGCCUGAGUAAGACAAUAGAGUUAGUCAAAGGGGGUACAGCCCCUUUGAAAGAGAUACAACUUUACCAGAAGGGUUAAGAUCAUAACUCUUUAUAAGGGAAUGUGUUCUAGUUGGCCUAAGAGCAGCCACCCAUACAGAAAGCGUUAAAGCUCAAACACCUCCCCUCCCCUAUUAUCCAGACCACACAAUCUUAUCCCCCUUAACACACUGAGCCCUCCCAUACCCCUAUGGGAGAGAUUAUGCUAAAAUGAGUAAUAAGAGACCCUUGAAUCUCUCCCUGCACAAGUGUACAUCGGAACGAACCAACACCGAAAACUAACGGCCCCAAGAACAGAGGGCACUGAAAUAUAAUGACCAACCACGAGAAAACCAUCCACCUCGUAAAACCGUUAAUCUUACACUAGCGUGCCUACAAGGAAAGACUAAAAGAAA